GCAGAGCUGAGAAAGCCGGGCGACAGCCGACAGACCGCGAAACCCCUGGCGGCAUGAGGCAGCAGGAGCCCGUGGUAGUGACCGUGGCGGCAACGCCCGAGGAGGGCUGCGAUGGGGAGCAGCCUCAGCAGCUGGCAGGGCUGGUGUGCAGGGCGCCCGGCGUCUCCCAGGAACCCCACAAACAGUGUGAGUUCAGCUGCAGCCGCGGACUCUGUCGCAAGGGGUGGAUGGGUGUGGAGAAAGAGUGAAAGCUGCAGGACAUCUGAGUGGCACUGGCUGAAGAGAAGGUCAGAGCGGGAAGGGGUGGGGAGCUGCUGUUUUGGCAAAGGCAAAGGUGAUGUCACUGUGAUAGAAAGCAUCCUGGACAUUUCCCCAAGCCCUCCUUUACAAAAGACACCAAAGCCCAGCGUGGGCAUCACCUAUGACUUAAAGGAUUGACAGUGGAAUUAUUCUGUAAGAGAAUUAUAAAUGUAUAUAUAUAAUUAUACACACAGAGAGAGGCCUUUACAUGUAUAUAACAUGUAGACAUUUAUAUAUGCAUGUAUGUGUGUAUGUGGAUAUGCACAUCAUUUUGACAAUUCCUUCAUUAUAUAGAUUAAGAAAUUGUGGUAUAGAGGAGAGGAAGUAACUUGCCACCAUUAAUUCAUAAGUGCUGGAGAAAUACAUAAAAUGUUUUAAUUCUCAUCUCUUGAACUCCAAAUCCAUAUAUUAUUCCCUGAUCCUUUUGGAAUCUCAGUUAAGGACUUUUUUUUUUUGGGGGGGGGGGUGGUGGUUACUGAGGAUUGAACCCAGGGUUGCUUAACCACUGAACCACAUCGCUAUACCUUUUUUAUUUUUUUCUGAGACAUGGUCUCACUAAGUUGCUUAGGGUCUCACUAAAUUGCUGAGGCUGGCUUCUUCAAACUUGCAGUCCUCCUGCCUCAGCCACCUGAGCUUCUGGGAUUAUAGGCCUAUGUCAUGGUGCAACAUUUUAACACACUGCUGUCCCGCGGCCCCCACCCCACAACAUAUAAGCAAUGUUCAAAUAUGUAAAGACAGUUCCAGUCCACAGUUACAUCCAGCAUGGUUAUAACUGGAGUCCUAGCCAGGUUUCAGUGCUCACCCACAUUGUUUCAUGAACUUACAGAUACUUGACAGCCUAUUGCACCCCACAGGUCUUCAGGUGCUAAGGAAUGAUGAUGAAAAUAAUAGGACCAAGAGGAACACAAGCAGUUUCUAGCCUCCUUGAUUGCCUCUCUGGGGAGUAGCCUAAGACUUCCAGCCUCCCUUCAAACUGGCUGAUCCCAGAAGGGAGCACUGGGCUCAAGCUACUAGCACUUGUGCUUCAGUGGACCCAUACCCUCCUCUCAAGAGAUCUUGUCAAGGAGUCAGUCACUGAACCACUGCCUCCUGGGGAAAGGGGUCUGUCCCUCAGCGUCAGCCCAAGGGUGUCUAUGAUACCUCAUUCUUCUUUUUAUUAUUAUCAACAGCAAACAGAAGCCUUAUUUAAAGUAAUUAAAAUCAGUGUAUUUAAGUAUCAGAGAUCCCUUACCUCUGGUUUAAAUUAAAUCUGGCAACUUUUCCAUUAAAAUGCUUUAAAAGGUUUAAAAUGCUUAAAAGCAUCAAAAGGAUUUUUUAGUCUAGGGCUUUAGGAAUAAAUGGUAGAUUUAUUCAUUCAUCGAUUCAACAUAUACUGAGUCUUUAUUAAAUGCCAGGCUUUGGGCAAGUUGCAGGAAAUAGGGAAAUGAAUGCAUAUAGGUACCAACUUUCAUGAGUUCACAAAGUCAGGGUAGAGGCAUGCAAAGGGUUUUGCCUCAGUUUCCCUGAGAACCUCCUUUCAAGGACUCAGACUAAGUAGAGAGGGGGCUAUUCAUACCACACAACGUAUCCUUUCAAUUUUCAAAUGUUUUUAAUUACUGGAAAAGUCUUUAGUCUCUCUAUAGCCUCUACUUUCUAAUCACAGAUGUGCUCUCAAAUGUACACAAAGUGUGGUCCUUUCCCACAAACAUCCUUCAAUUAUAUAAAGGUAACCUUUGGAGCACCCAUAAAAUGAAUCAAAGAACUAAUUAGCUUUAUAAUAAUUUGUAGUGCUUUUGCCAUUCUGGCUGGUCUCUUCCAACAUUAUCCCAUUAAUUAAAUCACUGAGCCCAGUAUUGUGGGUAUUAUCUGAUUAUACAAUGUGGUGGAACUAUAACUCCUUUGAUCAGAGAACUAUACUUCUAUUAAAUGGAUCCAAAAUAACAUGUAAAACAAAUGCAGUUUAUGACAAUCCUUAGUUUGUCUUUCUCCCUUUCCCAGGUUCUAGUCUCCUAGAUUAGGUUUGAUUCAUAUAUAUUCAUAUAUCUAUUCAUGUAUAUAUAUAUAUAUAUAUAUAUAUUCAUAUAUCCAUGUAUAUAUAUUCAUAUAUCUAAAUGUAUAUAUUCAUAUAUUAUACACACACACACACACACACACACACACACACACACCAUGUCUUUCCAUUCAUAACACAGGCCAGGCACAGGGCCUGAGCUGAGGUGUACAUGGGGUAGACUUACUCUGCCUCCUUUUUCUAUAUAGUCAUUGUAAGAAUGACUUGUGGUAAGCAUCAGGAGGCCUGGGCCAUAUAUUUAUCCCCUUAAAUGCCAUCCUGUGGCUUUUUGCAUUUUCUUCCAGCUUUAGAAGCAGCCUUUGAGAAUCCUAAUUGUCAUUCAACCACUUACCCAUUCACCCAAGUUUAUGCCAUUCUAGUUCCUUUAUUCAAAUCAACAAAUUAGAUGGUGAUCUCAUCAAAAUUGUUCAGUUCAAAGAAGCCUUUGAUCUGUUAAUCAGCAUCCUACUUGUGGGCAUUCUGCCUCCCCCUCCAGAAAACCCACUUUAUCAGGCGCCUGGUUGAAAUGCAGAUAUAUUGUAACUACCUCCCCAGUCUAGUAGGUUAGUAACUUGAGGUAUGGAAAAGUCAGGUAGGUUGGCUUCUUGUUUUUAGUACUUUAGUUUUAUAACUUCAGACAGGUACUUUCUUAAUAAUAAAAUAGAAAUAAUUAUAUUUACCCAUAGGUAAUUGUGAGGAAGAGAAACAAUAUGAGUAUUAGAUGCCUAAAGCAUGGUAAUAUUGAAUAAAUUGUAGCACUUGCUACAUGAAAUAACAUUGUUCCAAAAGAAAAUCUAGAAUAACAUUGUUCUUAGCAGUCCCUCUUAAAACUUAAUGGGACCAGAACCUUGGGAAACACUUGUAAUUCCAGCAGCUUGGGAGGCUGAGGCAGGAGGAUCACAAAUUCAAAGCCAGCCUCAGCAACUUAGUGAGACCCUAAGCAACUUGGCAAGACCCUCUCUCAAAAUAAAAAAAUAAAAAGGGCUGGGGAUGUGGUUCAGUGGUUAAGCACCCCCUGGGUUCAACACCUGGUACCAAAGAAGGAAAAAAAAAUAGUGGUCACUGUUUCUCACUGUGUAUAGACAGAAGCCAUUUGUUUACCAUUCACUCAAAAUUUUGGUGAAGAUCAACAUAAAGCUGCUGUGUUAUGGUUUGUAGAUUUCUUCCUUCCCUUUCUUCCUCCCUCCCUUGCUCCCUUCCUUUCUUCCUUCUUUUUCUUUGUAGAGGAUAAUAGCUUACACUUGUUCCUUUCUACUCUCAAUGUUCACUGUUCUUUAAAUCACCUUUUCUGAUUACCUCUAAAUUUUCUUAAAAACAAAGCUGAAAUUUGUCAGAAGAUCUCACCCUAUAGAAGGUAACUCUACCCAUUAUAGACUUUGCUGUUAUAGACUAGCUGUUAUAGACUUUGUUCCUUUUCUAGAGAAGUUUAUUAAAUCCUUUCCUGCCUGAAGAUUAUGAUUCUACAGAAAAAAAAAAUUUAAACCAAAAUUAAUGCUCUUAUCUCUCAUUAAUAUGACUCCCAACUUUUAGGAAGAAUGAGACUCUGAGAGUAUCUAACUCUACCUUGUCUGUGUCUGAGGGUGUGAUUGAGUCCUCAUGACCAAUAAUGACCCAGGCCACUGUCACGGCAGCAUGUCUCUUGCCCCCAUUUAGCCAGUGUGUAGUCAAGUCAAAUGAACUCCCUUGUGUUAUUACUGGUUGGUCUGGAAAAGAUGAGACACCUCCCAUAUCUUUGUAGGUUUAAAAUUGAAUCUUAAAUAAAAUGAGUCAGGUACAGUGGCGCAUGUUUGUAAUCCCAGCAACUUGGGCAACUGAAACAAGAGGAUGGCAUGUUCAAAGCCAGGCACAGCAACUUAGCAAGACCCUAGGUAACUUAGCAUGACCCUGUCUCAAAAUUAAAAAAUAAGGGCUAGGGGUGUGGCUUGGUAAGUGCCCCUGUACUCAAACUCCCAGUACCCCCCACUCCGCAAAAAAUAAAUAAAUAAGUGGUUUGCUUGAGUUUUUCGUGGCUCCUUAAAUUGAGCUCUUGGGUACCAAGCCUAAGAGCAUGUUUCCUGACAUUCACAGGUUGCGUUGUCAGGCAGGCACAUAGAAUAGUCUUUGCUUAGGGUUCUAUCAAAUCUAAUGAUGGUUGGUUCUACCUGAGCAUACAUCACUCAAACCUUUGUUAUAUGCCAAGUCCUCUUCUAGGACUCUGAUAAACUGAACAGACAAUAUCCCUACCCUUAUGGUGUUCAAUAGUCUGGUUAAGAAGACAGAUAUCAGCCAGGUAUGGUGGUAUACACCUGUAAUCCCAGUGACUUAGGAGACUGCAGCAGGAGGAUGACAGUUUGAGGCCAACCUCAGCAGUAAGUCCCUGUCUCAAAAUAAAAAGGUCUGGGAAUAUAGCCAAGUGAUAGAGUGCCCCCUCCCAUUUAAUCUCCAGUAUAAAAACAGAGAGAGAGAGAGAGAGAGAGAGAGAGAGAGAGAGAGAGAGAAGAAGAAGAAGAAGAAGAAGAAGAAGAAGAGGAGGAGGAGGAGGAGGAGGAGGAGGAGGAGGGAAGACUAACACCUACACACAUAUUUGCAUGUAAAUGAAAUGAAACUGCAUUUAAAGGAAAGAAAAAAGGAGGAGAGUAUGAAGAAAAAAACUUUUCUAGCUUGUGGAGUCAAGGAAAGUUGCCCCGAGGAACUGAUAUUAAAGCUGUGAUUUACAAUUUGAGUAGAAGUUAUGCAGGAAAAAAAAUCAGGAGAAAGGCAAUUCAGGAAGAGAAGAGAACAGGUACAAAAGUGAGAAUGCACAGAAGGGCGACUUGGCUGGAGCUCAGAGAACUACACAGAGAGGCUGAUGAAGAGAUUGGAGAGAGGCAGGGCAGAGCACAAAGCUGUUUUGUUCCCUAGAGUUCUAUCCUCUGGGGUGAAAGAACAAAUAUCAGUCCUGGACUGGAGUAGUAAAAAUGACCUAUAGAGCUAGAUUUAGAGGCCAGAAAAAAGUCACAUGUCCAUCAGUGGUUGCUACUACAGAGAGGUAAGAAUGAUAGAGGUUUAAUCUUUUAAAAUUAUAAAUUCAAUAAAGAGGCUGAUUCACAGUAGGAUAGGGAGAGGGAACAUGGUAGGAAUAGAUGAACUCUAGAUAGGGCAGAGGGGUUGGAGGGGAAGGGAGAGGGCAGGGGGUUAGAAAUGAUGGUGGAAUGUGAUGAUGAUUUUUCAUAUCUCUGGUUGUAUAUAAGUAUGUUCACACCAAUUCCUGUUUUCAUACCUGUACUUUGUAUAAUAAUGAUCUUUGUAUACAACCAGAGAUAUGAAAAAUUGUGCUUUAUAUGUGAAACAAAUUGUAAUGCAUUCUGCUGUUUUAUAUAUAUAUAUAUAUAUAUAUAUAUAUAUAUAUAUAUAUAUAUAUAUAUAUAUUAUAUAUAUUAUAUAUAUAUAUAUAUAUAUAUAUAUAUAUAAUUAUAAAUUUAAAAUGCUGAGGUUGUUCUACAUUCUGCAUCUGGUUUUCAAGGUCCAUGCACACAUCUAUUUUACCCAUUGCUCUCAGCCCUGACAUAGAAGGUCUUUAGUAAGAAUCUAUUGACUAAAUUGAGUGAAAGGUUUCUUGAAAUGAAUGAGAAAUCCCACAUACUUCUUCAUAAUAUCCAAAAGAGGUACCUAAAACAUCCCACAAGUUCAGAAUUACAUGAAAGUGUGAAGUCCCCAAAGAACAAAGUUACAAUGGAGAGAUCACUCUGAGAGAGAGCCUGCAGGGCAAAUUUCUGAUAUUUGUAUGGAAUGGGUCUUUAUAUUAAAAAAUUAUUCAUGUAGAUGAAAUGGCUAGAAGGUUGGGAAGAAUUAUGAUAACUAAUCAAUUUUGUCAAUUCCUUUAUAGGGAAGAAAUUUUUAUAUUGUGAGCCACAUAAGAGAAUUAAGGAAGUGCUGGAAGAAGAACUUUAUAUUAAGAGAGAUGAAUGCCACAUUAAAAAUCCACCUUCAGGUAAUCUCAGUAACAAAGUAUAUUUGUGAAGUGAAAAUUAAAUUGCCUAUUUGAUGAGAGGGUGAUUAUUAUAUUUAUUAUAAAACUAUAACUACCAAAAAGAAAAUAGGUUCUUGGGAAAUUUUUAAACUAUUCUAUAAUUACUUUUCUGAUGUUCAAAUAAACCUUUUGUGUUUAGAAAAAAAUGAGCUACUGGUAUGUACUUCUUUGCUGUCCCAAUGUUUGGUGAAGUUAUUUCUACUUAAUGAGAAGUGCAUUUUUCCCCAAAUGCUUGAAAACCACAAUGACAUCUUCUGUCUUAUCAACACAGGUAUAACCAAUAACAGUAAUUCCCAAACUUUAGAUUAUCUCAGAAUUACUUGAGAACUUAUUAAAGGUAGACUUCUGGUCCCCAUCCCUAAGAGAUCUGGCUCAACAGGUCUGAGAUAGGGCCCAACAAUUUUUUUUCUACCAACUUCCCACAUGAGGUUGAUACUGUGGGUCUAGAGACCCCAUUUUUCCAACCUUUGACUCAGCAGAAUUCUGGUUCACUCAAAUAGGUCAAAACAUUCAAGGGUUUUUGUGCCACAAAUACAGGUGUGUAUUUACAUGGUCUGGACACAAAAACAUCUCAUUGAUGGCUCAUGUGAGGAUAGAUAUGCUCUAUAAGCCCAAGAAUUUAUGCUUUUUUUUUUUUUUUGGUACUUGUUAUUGAACCCAGGACCUUAGCCCACAAAUGUUAUUUUGAAACUGCCAGUACUCUGCAUUCCAUGGCUCCUUCUCAGUGAGUAGAUACAUAUUCCAUGCUCAGGUUUUUAUUGUGAUGCUGUAGGGUACCAGCAAUUGCUAGGAAAAAAAAUAAAAAUAAAAGAACUGUAAGAUAGGACUCCCAUGCUCAGAAAACUUGAUGUUUUUUAGGACAAUUGUUGAACCUGCAGAUGGGGCCCAAUUCCCUCAGGAUUCCUAAGAGCAGAUGCUAUAGGUCCAGAAGUCUACCAUUUCAGACUUCAUCGUGCAUAGGCUCAUUUUAUGUUUCUAAACCAGCUAUAGAAACAUCUUUGGGACCUUCUUUUAUUGUCCAUUCUUACAGAAGUAGAGACCUAUGUAAUGGCCACAUUUGCUCUUGCAAUGGUUUCAGGAAGUUUUAAUUCUAUGAAUGAAUAUAAAGUUUGACAUUUGUGAAUGGAUGCAGAAUGACCUACAAUAUUUCUACUGUGAAUGCAGCAUAGAUGUAUUAUUUCCUCCCUGGUUAAUUUUUCAAAAUCUACAUUAUAUUUUAGAUUUAUCUUGUUUUCAAAGACUACCUACAAAGUUAAUUUGUAUACUAGUUGUCUGUUAUCUUAUUCUUAUUGGAUGUGCUUUAUUAUGAGGCCAUCUAGGUUUACAGAAAAUAUAGUUUGAUUUAUAAAAAUUCAUUUUUCUAAGCCCUUUUUCCAAAUAUUGUUCAUACAAAUGAAGACUUUUUGGGUUGCAUUUUUAUAACAUCUAUCAGGAGUUGCAUUGAGGUAUUAUGUUAGCCUAUAAAACAUUCAAAACUAAGAAUAGAUCCUUAAGCUUAGGUUUUAAAGGUUCUACUUAUUGAAAAGAAACAUAAAUUUUUAAAAGGGCUAGAAGCCCUACAUCCUUGGCCAGAACACAGAACAAGUACUCAGGGAGGGUGCCACACUCUCUAGCCCUGAGCCAGACACUUGACCAUCUGGCCAUUGCAGUGACACGCCCUCUUUCAAUACCUGAUAACAGCUAUGGCUUUUCUUCCUGGAAGACACAUCUUGUCACAUACACCCAGAAUUCUGCAUGAAAUUUUUAGGGACUUCAGUGGCUCUUAUAACUGCUAUUUAUGGAUAUCAAGAAUAAAUACAUUUGGGGGACUGGGGUUGUAGCUCAAUGGUUGAGCACUUGCCUUGCAUGCGUGAGGCAUUGGGUUUGAUCCUCCGCACCACAUAAAUAAAUAAAUAAAUAAAUAAAUAAAAUAAAGAUUUUUUUUUUUAAAAAAAAAAAGAAUAAGUAAAUUUGGGUUGGGGUUGUAGCUCAGUUGUUGAGCACUUGCCUAGCACAUGUGAGGCACUGGUUUCAAUCCUUAGUACCACAUAAAAAUAAAUAAAUGAAAUGCAGGUUAAAAAAAAAAAGAAUAAGUACAUUUGGCCAGGUGUUGUGGCACACGCCUGUAAUCCCAGUGACUCGGGAGGCUGAGGCAGGAGGAUCAAGAGUUCAAAGACAACCUCAGCAUCCUAUCACUGAACUACAACAUCCAGCCUUUUAUUGUUAUUUUGAGGUAAGGUCUCACUAAUUUGCCCACGCUGGUCUCCAAUUUGCAACCCUUAUGCCUCAACAGGUAAAAGUAUGUAGCCAGGACUCUAAGGCUUCCCUUCUCUGGACUUUUGAUUCCCACUAGGCUCCUGAUGCAGAGAUUUGUGGGCACAGUGAGAAGCACAGGAUGCUGGGGUGAAGGGUGAUGAUUAUGGUAGUGAUAAUGGUGAUAAUAAUAAUUCCCAUCAUUUAUAGAAGUAUCUUCUGCAUGUAUCAGACUUUUUUGUUAUUGUUUUGUUUUACAAAUUAUCUCUUUUUAUUAGUGAAACAACACUGUGUGAAUAUAUGCUCUUUUAUUCAUAUUUUGCUUAUCUGGAAGCUGAUGUUCAUAAGGAUACAUGAUUUACCUAGUGUCACACAGUUGGCAAGUGGAAUAGCUGGUCCUUGAACACAGGCUUGUCAGAAGCUGCAGAACUUGCUGUCAGCCAUUGGGUUAUUCUGUCUUCCUUUAAAGCAUAAAACUGUGUUUUCAGAGAGGAAUAAAAAUUGAAACUACAAUUUUAGUAGCAGUAUAGAGUCAUCUUAAGAAAGAAAGGAAGAAAGGAAAGAAAGGAGGGAGGGAGGGAGGGAAGGUAAAUUACCAUUCUUCUCUAGGUUGUUUCAGUUUAGCCUUCAGGUUCAAACCUGUGCUUCCAGAGGUUUGCCAAUUCCUAUCAGACCUAUUAUAGGCAGAGAGCCUGGACCUAUUAUAAAGUUUCUCAUCAUCCUGAAAAAUAGAAAUGCACUUUCCUCAUCAUACCUUCUAGUCAGUUGGAUAAAGAAGAAUGAAGCUAAUGUGAUUAUUCAUAACUUAGUGAUUCCCUGAAGAUUUCCCCUCCCCACUUUUUAAAAAGAGAAAACUUAGCUUUUGGUUUCCACAAACUUCUAUGGAAGACUUUGUAAAAAGAAGUUAAUAUGUUAACAAUAUUUUCAUGUAGCAAAGGUUUUUUUAUCUUUCUAAUUGAAACCUGCAGACGUUAUAUUAGCCAUGAAAAUUUGAUAAAUGAAGCUUAAUCAAAGUUUUCCUCUUAUAGAAUAUUUCUUUUAGCAAUGAAUUUCAAAGUGUACUUCCAAGUCCAUUAAUAUUUUUCUUUUUGUGCCUUAAUACGUGAUAAAUUAACUUUGAGUCUGGUUUAUUUACUGCGCUUAGUACAAAUUUAGAAAGUGCAAAAUGUUGUUUGAGCAAGGGUAAACCAGUUGGAUAUUAAUUAUUUCAUUCAACAAAAGUGUUUUCAUGCAUCUGUAAUAUACAAGUGUAAUUGUGGAGCCUAGGAGUCACUGAACACAAAUUAAAAUUACUUGCAUUUUUCUUCCUUUGGUCAAAUCUCUAAAUAUGUUCAUAUAAGGGAAGUAUAGAAGAUAUGACUCUAAACUGGCUUUUUAAGUUCUCAGGCUCAUUAUUCACAGUCCAGAGAGAGCCAACAGGAACAAAAAAAUAUUUUUAAAGGGUGAAUUUACUUUUCCUGUGAGGCCAGGCUAGGUCCCACUGACAAGAAUUGGCAUAAGCAUAGUUUCAUAAUUUUUAAAGUUAGAAUAAAAACACACUUAAGAUGUCCAGGUAUAAGGGGUUGGGUGCAUGAGAGGGAAGAAAGAAGAAUCUCUGGAAGGUUCUAGGAAAAGGACUCAAUUUCUUAUUCUUCAUUUCUCCCCUGCUGCCCAUUUCUUUUUCAGGCCACGAUGCCAGCACAGAGGUCUUGCAGGACCUGCUGUGUCUUUCUUCCACCUCCUGAAAUGCACAUGCUCAGAGCUGAGGAGUUCAGUUUCUAAUAAGAGAAGCGGUUGCCUCAAAGGGCAUCUGUGAUUCUUUUUUUUUUUGGUAUUGGGAAAUUAACACAGGGGCACUCGACCACUGAGCCACAUCCCAACCCUAUUUUGUAUUUUAUUUAGAGACAGGGUCUCACUAGUACCACACCUUUGCAGAGGCGACUUUGAACUCUCGAUCUUCCUGCCUCAGCCUCCCGAGCUGCUGGGAUUAAAGGCAUGUGUCACCUGGCCAGCCAUCUGUGAUUCUUAAUAGGCUUCUUUUUUCCCCAAAUGACUAUUUUGCCUUCUGAAAUUCCUCACCCAAAUAUCAGACCAAAUAAAAGUAGUAGUAUUUUUUUUCCCAGUAACCUCUAUCCCUCAGGACAGUAAAUUCUUAUGUAUAACUAUAUUUUGUUUUGAGGGUUUUAAUGAAUUUCUUAGCAUCUGCAUUUAUAUUUUCAGAUAUUUUCUCUAUUGAUUAUAAGCUUCAGCUAUUCUUGUGAUUCCACUGGAAAGAGCCCUACUAAAUUCCCAAUCUCUAAAUUCUUUACUUCAUUUGAUAUGUUUGUUUAGCAUAGAUCUGCUUUCUGAUUUUAAGCUACUUUCCAUUUGCCAGAUCUUCCCACAGUAUAUAGAUGAAUCUAAAUUUAUUUCCCUGGUCUCUUACAGGAAGUCAUACACAAGUCGGUAUUUAAUAAAUGUUGGUGGUUACCUGAAUUUGAGUCUAUUACCAGGGGCUGGGGAUUAUAGCUCUUUCCUAUUUCUAGACAACACAGAUGAGGAAACUGGCUUGAAUGGCAGAGGAGAUUUAAGUUAAUAUAGGAUCUUGACAGAGAACAUGGAGUCUUCUCUGAAGGCCCUGGAAGAAGGAAGCUAAUCUUGAUAGAUAGCUUGAGAGAGGCAAGAAUUGAUGCUCAGCUCGAUGAGUCAGCCAGUGAUUUCCUGCUAUAAGUGAACCUAAUAAGCUCAUGCUUGGACAAUAAAAUCAUUUCCCUGUAAAAAUAAUAGCAACCAUUUAUUAAGUACUGAUCACUUUAUGCCUGCCUUUCCUACAUCCUACAAUAUUCCUUCAAGGAAGAUAUUAUUAUCCUCGUUAAGAAUAAAUAAACAGCUAAUGCCAGUAAAAUACAAAAUAGGCUGAAGGUGUGGCUCAGUGGUUGAGUGCCCCUAAGUUCAAUCCCAAGUACAAAGUAAAUAAAUAAAUACACAAAUAAAUAAAUAAGGGCCGGGUGCAGUGGUAUACACCUGUAAUCCCAGUGGCUCAGGAGGCUGAGGCAGGAGGAUCAAGAGUUCAAAGCCAGCCUCAUGAAAAGUGAGGCACUGAGCAACUCAGUGAGACUCUGUCUCUAAAUAAAAUACAAAUAGGGAUAGGGAUGUAGCUCAGUGGUCGAGUGCCCCUGAGUUCAAUCCCCAGUACCAAAAGAAAGGAAAUUGAGACAUAUGGAUUAAAUAAUUUGCCCAGAAUCACAUAAUUGGAGGUGGUAGAACUGACACUAAAAUCUUGCUGUCCUCUAAACCCAAAGACUGUACUCCUAGUCAUCACUGGGUACAAAAUCACUUGGGGAAGGAUUGAGUGUCAUUGAGGAUGCCAGUAGGCAGCUCUGGAUCCAUGAGGAGAAUUCAGCAUUAAAAUUUGUAGGCUCAGGGCUGGGACUGUAGCUCAGAGGAAGAGUACUUGGCCAGUAUGCAUGAGGCACUGGGUUCAAUCCUCAGUGCCACAUAAAAAUAAAACAAAGAUAUCGUGUUCACCCAUAACUAAAAAAAAAAAAUGUAGGCUCAGAAAUCAGAAAAACAACUUAUGGCAGCAAACCAGAAUUCAGAAACUUACUUAACUUGGAUUGUGGUUUUCUGCACAGUUAAAGUCCACAUAAUGCUUUUUAAUUGACUCUCAAAACUUAAAGAAGUGAUUGUAGGAUAUUGUGUCAGUCAGCUUUUUUGUCACUAAGACCAAAAUACCUGAUACAAACAACUUAAAGGAGAAAAGGUUUAUUUUGGGCUAUUUUAGACUUCUGAGUCCAUGGCCUACUGGCUCCAUUGCUCUGAAACUGAGGUGAGGCAGAACAUUGUGGUGGAGGAUAGCUGCUCACCUCCUGGCAGCCAGGAAGCAGGGGGAUGAGUUGUGUGGGACAAGGUAUAAUAGUUCCCAAGGGCACUCCCCCAGUGACCAACUAGGCAAGUCUGACCUCUGGACAUUGAUACAUUAUGAACCAAGCCGUUGAGGAACAUUCCAGAUCCAAACCAUAACAGAUACAGAGGAUAGCCCAGUGCAAAUCAUUACUAGAACUUACUGAAUAGUGCCGGAAUUAAGACCUAUAAUUUGCCAUGUACCAAUGUGUACACAUCACUUUCCAAGUACUUUGCUAUGGUUGUUUUAAAUGUAGGAUCUGGGCUGGGUUGUGCUCAGUGGUUGGAGUGCUUGCCUAGCACAUGUGAGGCAUUGGGUUCAAUCCUCAGCACCACAUAAAAAUAAAUAAAUAAAAUAAAGGCAUUAUGUAUGCCUACAACUAAAUAUAUAUAUUAAAAUAUAUUUUAAAAUAUAUUUUAUAUAUAUUUAAAUAUAUAUAUAUAUAUAUAUAUAUAUAUAUAUAUUUUUUUUUUAACAACGUAGGAUCUGGUGAUUUUGUUGUUACUUCUUUCAAAUGGGAAAUUAAACAACAUCUAGUUUAUAGUUUUUAGAAGAUUCUUCCAUCUAUUGAAUAAAUUAAUGUGUUUUUUUUUCUUAUCUGUAGAAAUAUUUCUAACCUGCUGCAGGAAUUAAAAAAGAAUCAGAUAAAGCUGACUGAAUACCCUCUAUGUGUUAACUUUUAUUCCUGCUCUUUCUGUGUUUUGUUAUACAUGUUCCUAUUCUGACUUGUUCGGAAUUUUUUUUACUGUUUCUUUAUAACUAUACAUAGCAUUAGGAUUCAUUUUGACAUAAUUUUGAAAGUAUAGAAUAUAAUUUGCUAUAAUUCAGUCCCCAGGAUUACCCGCUUUCUCUCUCCUCCUCCCUCCCCUGUUCCCUUCCCUCUACUCUGACAUGCAGAAGCUAGUUCAAAAUAAGGGCAGGGAGGGGACUCCAUCAAAAUAGAAGGAAGACGGUGGACUAAAUGAAGGGGACUAAGAGGGGAGGGAGAAGGGACAAGAUAGGGGAAGAACAGAGGAAUGAAUCUAACCUAACUUUCCUAUAUACAUAUAUGCAUAUACCACUGUGAGUCUCACCAUCAUGUAUAUCCACAAGACACUUUAAAAAAAAAAACCUAUUCUGACUUUUCAUAUAUUUGUUUAGGUGUAAGAUAAAUUACAAAAGGGCAUUAUAGAGGUUUAGUUGCAUGGGGGAUAACUGAAUGCAUGAAAUGGAAUAAAGACCUUGGGGAGUUUGAUUAAUUAAAUCAAAAACUUACACCCAAAUAACUAAAAAUAAAUAAUCAUCAAGUAAAUACUUUAGAAACACUUGUGUUUAAAAGAGAAUAUGCUAAUGAUCAUCAUCUUGCUUUUGAAAAUAUUGACAGUGGUCCUGGAAGGGAUCUGGAGCAUUAAAAGGAAUCUCCCUAUGGGGUGCUUGAAGCCAGGACUGCCUAGCAGAAACAGUUUACUGCCACAAGCCAAAUACUAUUCAAGGCACGGAGGACUGAGAAGUAAGACUCUGACACCCUUGACUUCCACAGACACCCUAAGGGUACUGCGCAGUUUACAAACCAGUGGUAUAUACUUUGUUUAAAGAUCUCAAUCAAAACUCAACCUGCCCCUGUCUUUCUCUAUAGUUACUUAUUGUUUUGCCCUGUUCCAUCAUUGAAGAACUCAAAAUGGUAACAGUUUAGUUAACCAAUGUCCCCCCAGGGAUACAAUAGAAGUUUCUACUCAGACUUACACUGCUGACUUUUUUUUUUUUCCUCCUCAAUUUCCUAUCCACAGAAGACUUUCUGGCACAUAGUCAGCUUCAGAGAGGAGGGAUUUUGCUCUGUGUUUUCUUCUGGAUGGAUGGUCUCUGUUUACCAGUGGAAAUGAGGGAAGGGAGAUGAGGGAUUAAGGAAGAACAAGGGAGAUGAGGGAUUAAGGAAGAACUUGCUUGGCUCCUUUAGUUUCACCUUUUCCAGGUAGCAGCCACCAGCCUGGGUCCAGUGAACCAUUCCUCAACAAACAGAAACUUUAAGCAAAUUAUUGCUGUUUCCCUCACUGUCAUAGCCAAUGUUUGCCAGGAACAAUUGUGGCAGAAUGUGGGAAAGGCAGAGGGCUUGACAUGGGAGCACAGUGUCCAGAUAAUGUAGAGACAUGCAGCUGGGUAUAUGAGUCCUGAAGAUCAGUCUACAGCCUGGAGUGACCUGGGGAAAAGGAAAGAAAUAGGUAAAAGCCAAGGAUACAUUUGUCCAGGAUAUAAAUCAUAAUUGCGAAUGUUAAAUAGCACUGUUUAUUCUAGAUUCUUAACAUAUAUAUUUCCUGUUUACAACAAUCACAGGAAAUAGUUAUGAUUUAUUUAACAAUUGAGGAAACAGGAUCAGAGAGGUAGAAUAAUUUACCCAGUGACACUCAGCUACUGUUUUUUAAAAAAAAAAAAAAGUGUUAUAAGGGGAUUUGUGUAGCAAGCAGGAGCCAGUAAUGGGUUUAAACUACUUUAUUAUUAAAUUGGGUUUAAUAAUAAAGUAGCCAUUAUUUGCAUGGGCCAAGCAUGGCAAUACAUGUUUUACAUAGUUAUAGAACCCCAUGAUUACACAAGUUGAGAAUUAUAAUCUCUCUUCUAGGGAAGAAAACUGAGGCAUAGAGACAUGACAUUACCUAAGAGCCCAUGUGUUGGAGGCCGUGGAGCCCAAACUAAACCUGUAUCCAUCCAGCUUUCAAGACUAUACCCUUAACCACCAGACCAUGAGUCAUGGUAAAGAAUCUAGUCACCAGGCAAGAAGGGCCGAAUUAGUCAUAGGGUUGUGUUAAAUAGGCACAGAGCCUGGGCUCUGGAAAGGCAGGGUGAGAAAUCUGGGAGUCAACUGCACUCAGGAUCCACAAAGAUAUCAUUGUCCUGGAGUAAUGGUUGGUUCAAGCCUAAUCUGGGUCACUUGUCUAUCAGGGGCUAUUUAUCUCAACUUUCCACUCAAUAUGUCAGGUCCCAUUUAUAGUGGGCAAAUUCAUCAUUCCAAGAAAACUCACAAAGCUAUUUAUUUUAAAGAUGGAUAGUUUCCAAAAUGCAUAUUAUAAGACUGAAGAAUAAAUUACCUUUAUCUGAAGACAUAUACGUCUAAUAAUUAUCCAAUUCAUCAACUGGAGUCAAAUAACAAAAAUGUGUUACAUUUGGACCAUAAUUGUAUUGCUUUCAUCUGUACAAUUUAGGAGAGAAGUGUUCCUGGCUCCUUCCUGUACUUGUUGCCACUUAUUCAUGCUACUUUCCUAGCAGCCUUGGCCAUCUCUCCCUAGCCCAUAUCUAGCCAUUACAAAGAUCAGAUGUAAUUGUUUCUGAUAGGUUUAAUUUCAUCUCUGCCAUAUGAUGAUAUCUACUGCUACUGUCUAUGAGACAGUCACAACUGGUCCAAUUACGUCAAUCAUACAGAUAACUAAGAAUCAGACAUUUCUCAUUAUCAAUCAAAAAAAAAAAGAGCUAUGCAGAGAAAUUUAUAUGAAACAUUCCACAGACAAUUGCCUGUAAUCAAGAGAUCCACAAAGACUGGGACUGUGUCUCCUCACCACUGUGUCUUUGGCUCUUAGCAUGGUACCUGGCACAGUAGGUUCUCAAUUGCUAUUUGUCACCAGAAUGACCAAUGAAAACCAGAAAAUGUACAUUGGAAAAAAAAGAAAAAGAAAGUGUAUGUUGAAUGUCUACUUUAUGUUCAGGAUCUUUUUGCUGGAAACCCAUAUACAUGUUCCCCCUCCACAAAAGCAUAUGAUUUUCUCAGGCAAACAAUGGAGGAGGGGCAAGGGAAAACUAUUGUCUUCAGUGUGUGAAUUAUGAAAAGUUGUACAUAUUUUAUACACAGCUUGGAAAUGACACUUUGAGGUUUUCAAUAUGUCCAGGAACUCCCAUGUUUCAUUUAGAAAAUUCAACUAAAACUUACUGUCACUUUCUUUUCCUCUUAUGCUUUUUUCCCCUUUCUCAUGAGCAACGUGAUCCUAACAGUUGUGACUCUUCCAACAUCUAAUACACAUCAUUUAAAGUUUAAAUUUAGAGUCAUGAUCACCCAGUUGUAAUUCUAAAGCAUGUUUUUGGAAACAUCCUGAAUUAGAACCCCAAACUAUUGUGCUUUUAUCUCACUAACAGACUUCAUUAAUUUACUUUGAUCAUUUCCUUCUUAUCCUAUAUCAUAUAACAAACAAACAAACCAUUGUCUAGCCCAGUGCUAAGCUUCAAUAUGCCUGUGAAUCACAUGAGUAUCUUACUAAAAUUCAGAUUCUGAUCCAGGAGGUUGAGUCGGAGAUUCUGCAUUUAAAAUUUCCCAGGUGAUGCCAAAGCUAAUUGUCUGGAAACCAUGCUCCUGUUGUGAGGGUCUGAAAGACUCAGUAAAGGUUUUUAUAGUUAAGGAGAACACAAGGGUGUGGCUUUUACAUUCUACUCCACCUAAUGAAAUAUCACUGGGAAUAUUAAUUCAAACUUAGAUUAAAGUGGGGUUGGUAUUAAAGAGCAUCUUCCAAACUAAAACACUUACUUAUUUGUUCACAUAUUCUUUUUCACUCUAGGAUGAAAUGAAUAUAAUUUUCCACUGGGAAGAAACCUCUUUCUCUUUAUGUUUGAAGAACACUGAAGAAACCCAAGUUGUUUCUUGAUUUCAGAUGUAUGGAUGGAGGGGAAGUAUAUUAGUCUGUAAUAUGUUUACAUAGUCAUCUAAAGUCAUGAAAGACUAUUGAUAUUUUGCUAAAUACCUGCAAACAAUGAAGGAAUAUCUUAUGCUUAUUUUUAGUUUUCACAAUUGGAAUAAAGUGGGUUUCUAAUUCAAUAGAAUUGGGUUAUUCUAUUAAAUGAGUGAGG
rnacentral:lncRNA from 1 species